rnacentral:misc_RNA from 1 species
GAUGAAGAACGUAGCGAAAUGCGAUAAGUAAUGUGAAUUGCAGAGUUCAGUGAAUCAUCGAAUCUUUGAACGCACAUUGCGCCCGCCGGCACUCCGGCGGGCAUGCCUGUCCGAGCGCCAUCCCAGCCCUCAGGCCCAGCCUGGCGUUGGGGAGCGCGCGCCGCGGUUCGCCGCGGGGCGCCCCCCCGAAAUGCAGCGGCGCCGCCGCCCGGCCCGUCCACCGCGAAGUAAAUUUCUCGACGCGGAGGGACCCGGGGGAGCGGUCGCCAUCGAACCCAUCAUUUCAUGAGCUGGCCUCGGAUCAGGUAGGACUACCCGCUGAACUUAAGCAUAUCAAUAAGCGGAGGA